AUAUCACGUUGAAAUACUGGUUCUCGACCGAUCACCGAAUUUACGCAACGGUGAGCCUGGUCAAUAUCUAGAUGGGUGACCGCUUGGGAAUAGCAUGUGCUGCAAG